CCUUGUAGUGUUGAUGUUCUAACGUCGACCCCUUAUCGGGGUUGCGGACAGUGCCUGGUGGGUAGUUUGACUGGGGCGGUCUCCUCCCAAAGAGUAACGGAGGAGCACGAAGGUGGGCUAAUCACGGUUGGACAUCGUGAGGUUAGUGCAAUGGCAUAAGCCCGCUUGACUGCGAGAAUGACAAUUCGAGCAGGUGCGAAAGCAGGUCAUAGUGAUCCGGUGGUUCUGAAUGGAAGGGCCAUCGCUCAACGGAUAAAAGGUACUCCGGGGAUAACAGGCUGAUACCGCCCAAGAGUUCAUAUCGACGGCGGUGUUUGGCACCUCGAUGUCGGCUCAUCACAUCCUGGGGCUGAAGUCGGUCCCAAGGGUAUGGCUGUUCGCCAUUUAAAGUGGUACGCGAGCUGGGUUUAGAACGUCGUGAGACAGUUCGGUCCCUAUCUGCCGUGGGCGUUGGAAGAUUGAAGGGGGCUGCUCCUAGUACGAGAGGACCGGAGUGGACGAACCUCUGGUGUUCGGGUUGUGUCGCCAGACGCAUUGCCCGGUAGCUAAGUUCGGAAUCGAUAACCGCUGAAAGCAUCUAAGCGGGAAGCGAGCCCUGAGAUGAGUCUUCCCUGAUACUUUAAGUAUCCUAAAGGGUUGUCGGAGACUACGACGUUGAUAGGUCAGGUGUGUAAGUGCUGUGAGGCAUUGAGCUAACUGAUACUAAUUGCCCGUGAGGCUUAACCAU
rnacentral:rRNA from 1 species